UAUCCUGGCUCAGGACGAACGCUGGCGGCGUGCUUAACACAUGCAAGUCGAGCGGUAAGGCCCUUCGGGGUACACGAGCGGCGAACGGGUGAGUAACACGUGGGUGAUCUGCCCUGCACUUCGGGAUAAGCCUGGGAAACUGGGUCUAAUACCGGAUAUGACCUUCGGCUGCAUGGCCGAGGGUGGAAAGGUUUACUGGUGCAGGAUGGGCCCGCGGCCUAUCAGCUUGUUGGUGGGGUAAUGGCCUACCAAGGCGACGACGGGUAGCCGACCUGAGAGGGUGACCGGCCACACUGGGACUGAGACACGGCCCAGACUCCUACGGGAGGCAGCAGUGGGGAAUAUUGCACAAUGGGCGAAAGCCUGAUGCAGCGACGCCGCGUGAGGGAUGACGGCCUUCGGGUUGUAAACCUCUUUCAGCAGGGACGAAGCGAAAGUGACGGUACCUGCAGAAGAAGCACC
rnacentral:rRNA from 1 species